GCGUGAUCGUGUCACCACGUGAAUUUAUACGCUUUUCCAUCGCGAUCGAAGAUCGAUUAGCCGGGGACAACGCUCGAGAACGCGGACGGCAAUGAUGGAGAGCUGAGAAUACGGUGCCCGAGUUUCGUGCAUGAGAGAUGAGUGGUUCUAGACUUGGCAGGGGCCGGGGUGGUCGCCUGGCCGUGUACGGGGGUUGCGGGGUGGUGGUUAUUCUUAUAGUGUUUCUCUACCGCGCCACCACCUUGGAGAUGGCCAGGCUUCGAGAACUUCACGUUCAGUGUGCUCAUCAGCAGGAGGCUCUGGCUGCUCAGCUUCAAGUGAUAUUCGAGUACAAAGUAAGGCUGGAGAAGUCCCUGGCUGAGGAGAAGAGUUCGAACGCGGCCGUGAGGCAAGAGCUUCAGCAGCGCGCGUCGAGGGAGAAGUCGCUGAGGGACAAGGACAGCAUAGAGGCGAUGCAGAGGUUCAACUCCCUGCAACAGACUUACAAGCUGCUGCAGACGGAGCACCAGGACCUGCAGGAAGAGUGCAAGAAGCGCGAUCAACAAGCUUUAGAAGACACUAGCAAACUGGAGACAACGCUCAGGGAACUUCGCAGCCGUAUCAGGCAGGCGAGGCAAGACAAGGAGAAAGCCUUGGAACACCUGAAGAACAAGUUCCUAGAGCUGGACACGCAGAAAAACGAGUUGGAACAGAAGUACAACGACAUGUUGAAGAGCAACGGUGACACCGACAGCACCAUCGAGCAUCUCAAGAAGGAGGUGUUUCAGUUGAAGCGCGAACUAGAAGAAGCCAAGAAAGCCGCGCGGAAGGCUACUUCGCCAGGUCCGAGCGUGGCGAAUCCGCGGCCGUCGCAAGCGAGACCCGCGAACGUGGAGAACGCGGGACAGCAGCCUGUUGAUCGGUCGCAGCAGCAACAGGUAAGUCCGCAGACAAGUGACGAUAAAAAUCCGCAGCCGUUGAAUGCGCCGAUCGCUCAGCAAACGAUCGAGGACCCCCUGCUGUCGAACGAGCAACGCCUGAACGAGAUGAACGACGUUCAAUUCGCUCAGAAGAACGGCAACAUUGUACCAGUCGGUCCCAACGAGAUGAAGGAAGCCGAUGUGUUACCAUUGCCCUACUAUCUGCAAGAGAAACACCAGGGAAAGCAGAGCGAGCAAUUCGUCAUCAACGUGAACCAGAUAGAGAGCAACAAAGAACUGAGACAGGUAAUCCCGCCACCGAAUCAGAUCGAUGACAGUCUCGGUGACAAAAAGUCAUCGAGCAACCCGCCGGUGAAUGAGAUAGGUCGCAAGAUUUUUGACAAGAAGGACCAGUCCGCCGUAGCGAAUAACAACACGAAGAAAGUAGAGAGGAAACUGGAGAAAGCGCAGAACAAUGUGGACGGGAUUUUGAAUCAAAUUUUGAGGAUGAUCUGACGAAGAGGUUUAGUCGGAACUUGCGAUCCCUCGUUGGUAUUGUUUUCAUUGAAAAUACUGUGGGCAAUUACGUUAAUCGUGUUCCAUGAUGGCUCCUCUUCCUGAUGAAUUUGCAGCUAGUUUCUUGACGAUUGGGUGCAGCUUCUGACGUUAGUUGCGAUGUGGCACUUGUUGAAGGUGUUCGAAGUGUUUUAUUUUUUUUCUUGAGGGGAAGAGCAGAAUCUAGGAUUGUGUGAUGAAUUUUUAAGAUUUUUAACAUUGUUGUUGAUGUCAAAGCAACAGCGAGCAUAAGUGGAAAGAUCAGCGUUGAUACGUGAAUCUUGGAUGCCUCGAUUGCGUGAGAGUGUGAUAACGAGUGACAAAUUCACGUAUCGACUAUGACUGUAGUCACCACGUUCGCUACCAGAGCGUAUCUAUUAAUAUAGAUAUAAUAUAUCUAUUAAUAUAGAUAUAUCUAUAGAUGUAAUUUUAAUGACAUAGUUGGUGCUUGGUGCUUAACCCAUUGAUGAUCGAACUAGUUCACAUUAAUCGGUGAACAUUUCAAUGUUAUCGCCGAAAAUCGGCUGAAGAUUCCAAAGAUUGCUUUGAUAUUGUUAAUCGUUAGUAUUUUCCUAGAUUGAACUAAAAUGAUUUAUAUUUCCUGGUCGUUGAUGGGUAAAAAAAGAACAAAUAUCUGUCUGUUAUCAUUUGUAAUAAAGGUGUAUUGUACCCUACAAGGGAAAAGAAAAUGAAGUUUGGCAAUUUUGUCAACGUUUCUUGCAAGAACAAAUUAUCACAUGACAGUCGAGAAUACAAAAUAGAUAGAUCUAUAAAUAGUUUGGAAAGUUCGAGGAAGUUCAAAAUAAGUGCCUUUGAAGUGACAUGAUAUGAUUGAUUACGAUUGAUUGAUUGUUGGGGAACUGAGUCUCUUUCGAUGUGAUCUGCCUUAUGAUAUUGAAUUUACACAUGCACGUAAUUUGCAUGGUUUGUACUUGGUGCUGUAGAUAGAUAAUUUCUUUAGUUAACACGAGGGACCCGAAAUUAAUCUACAGAAUUGUUUCUCCACUGUUGUUUUCAGCAAGUGGUUACAGAUUGAACAGUAUAGUACGAUCACGGAAAAAUGACGAAGACUAUAAACAAUCUGUUGCAUGAUGGGCUGAUCUAUUGAUUGAUAGUAGUAUUUUGAAGAUUACUUAGUGACUUUACUCGCCUUUCUUUUUCUAUUAAUAUGUAAUCGGUAUUAAAUAUUUAUUUAUAACAAUAAUAAAUGGAGCAAAAGAAGAGUUGAAAGAUGAAACCCUGUGCAAACUGCCUUGGACAGAUUGUUAUCUUGCAAGGAAUAUCUACUUUCUCUUCUUGAAUCUUGUACAACAAUAAAUAUACUCGCGAAAAUCUGAAUUUGCAGAAAUAUACGCAAUCUAACGAUAUAUAAUUUGACAAUUCAAAAAGCUCACAAACUCAAGUCUCACUUGUGUACUUUUCAACAUAUUAGAUUUUUCUUUGAAAUAAAAAUGUUUUAAAUGUGCAAUAUCCUGAAGACAGAGUAACAGAAUAUUUUAGCAAUUGUGUAAAUGUUGUGUCCUUUUUUUUUCUCUUUCUUCUCUUUUUUUUAUUUCGUAUCAUUGUCUUUUGCAAUUUUUAUAAACAAAAUUAGAGCACAUUAGUUUGUCAAAUGACCACAUGUGUUGUGUAUGUUUCUCGUACUUGAAAAGUUCUUUUUGCUCGUAGCCUUUUAAAGCUUUGACAGUCUGAUGAACGGGAAAAACGAACGAUUUUUCUCGUCAUUUUUCUUGGAUGAUUGAGAAAGAAAAACCAGUCAUGUACAUGUAGCUUGCAAGCUGUAUUAAAUGUGCUUGUAUGUCCGUGUUAAUCAAUUAAUAAAUUGUUAUUAUUUUGA